rnacentral:lncRNA from 1 species
CCCCUACCCACUGCCUCCAUUCCCACACAGCCUUUAGCUAAUUAAGCUACUCACCACUCUUCCUAGCUAAGCAUCUUCUUGAGUUCUCCGUGGUGAUCGGAUGGACAGCGCGUGGAGCUGUCUCGUGGACGACGUGAGCAGCGGCACGUCCACGGGCAAGAAGGCGUCUCCGUCGCCGGCCGCGCCGGCGACCAAGNNNN